rnacentral:rRNA from 1 species
UACAGAGGUCUCAAGCGUUGUUCGGAUUCAUUGGGCGUAAAGGGUGCGUAGGCGGCGCGGUAAGUCGGGUGUGAAAUCUUGGAGCUUAACUCCGAACUGCAUUCGAUACUGCCGUGCUUGAGGACUGGAGAGGAGACUGGAAUUUACGGUGUAGCGGUGAAAUGCGUAGAUAUCGUAAGGAAGACCAGUGGCGAAGGCGGGUCUCUGGACAGUUCCUGACGCUGAGGCACGAAGGCCAGGGGAGCAAACGGG